GUUACUGACCCAUCUCUUGUGCUUUGCUCUUUUCUCUUUUUCAAUCUUAAUAUUUUUUAUUCAACUAGUUCAUCAAUUUCUGAUAUUCAAAUGAUGAUGUUUUCAUAGAGUUGAAGUGAAUUAUAAUAGGAUACGAUGAUGGGAAGGAGGUGGCUCGUGCGUUCUCGAGCGCUGUGUUUUUGAGGGUUUUGGGUUGAUGGGUUAAUUCCAUUCCCAAAUUACCUUUUGCUUAGCUACGGAGAUGGGACCAAACCCACAAAGUUUAAUUAUAAUUGUGGCUACAUCAGUUAAUGCCUUAUGAGGUUUGAGAACUACUCUAAAUGGUAGGUAGAUUAUUUUAAUAGUAACAUAUUAUUAGAACAAAAGCUUUUCUAAUUCUAAAUUUUAGUUGGUUCCUGUCAGUCCGAAUACUGGGUUUGGUGAGGGGUUUUUUCUCCUUUUUGUAUAUGCAGUAGUUGGCUUUUCCAUGUAUUGUUUUGAUAUUAUUCUGAUUCUGAUAAUAUUGCCUGAUGAAAUGUCAGUUUCUUCCUUGUGAUGUAUCUUCCAAAUUGGAGAAAAUGGAAGGUACAUGCAUGUGAAAACUGCACUCUUUUUACCAACACCCAUUUUCUAAGUAAGAUCUCGAGUUUGAAUUGAGAUCGGUGUCUUUUGGAUAUAUAUAAAAAAAAAAAAAACUCGAGGCAUAUUGUAUUGAAUGGUAUAGGAAGGGGGAAUUUAGCCUUGAGAGGGGAGGCACUGAUGGUCCCCUCCUUUUGAGAUUUUAGAUUAGGACGGUAUCCCCCAUUUUAUGGACAUAAUCUGUUUCACACUGGGUAGGUUGGUGGGUGGGGAAAAUUGUCUUUUACUUGCUAUAGGGGCAAAAUUUACAAAAGGAGGAGCAAUGGGUUGGAAAUUUCCUGCACAAGCUUAUGAAGGACUUUUUUUUUUUUUUUUAACUUGAAUUGAUGACAACAUUGAAAGCUUGGAAAAUACCUUUUUCUUUAAUGGAAUUAUUAAGUUCUAUUAUUAGCCUAUAAUGUAUCAUAUAAUCUCUUCAAAAUUCUAUGCGUCUGUCAGCUCAUUCGCCGAAACUUCAAAAUUAAAUGAACUCCCUUGUCCAGGUUUCAAACAAAGUUUUACCCCCUUCUUUUUUGUACCAUGAACCUUUUAUUCUUAUCCUGCUUACAUGUAUUUACUGCUGCUACACUUGUCGUUUCUUUGCCUCAUGCAGGGUUCUUUUGGAUGUUUAGUUUUUUUUCUGUGUCUCGUACUGUUGUUUUUACACUUUUACACUACUCACAAAUGCUGUCCAUAUAAAUGCAAUUUGAUAAUAAUAAUAAUAAGCAAUUCAUCUUGAUUAUUUA